rnacentral:rRNA from 1 species
AUUGAACGCUGGCGGCAGGCCUAACACAUGCAAGUCGAACGAGUGGCGGAGGGGUGAGUAAUGUCUGGGAAACUGCCUGAUGGAGGGGGAAAAACACUGGAAACGGUAUCAUAUCCCGUAUUCUCUCGGGAGCCCCCAGAGGGGAUUAGCUAGUAGGUGGGGUAACGGCUCACCUAGGCGACGAUCCCUAGCUGGUCUGAGAGGAUGACCAGCCACACUGGAACUGAGACACGGUCCAGACUCCUACGGGAGGCAGCAGUGGGGAAUAUUGCACAAUGGGCGCAAGCCUGAUGCAGCCAUGCCGCGUGUAUGAAGAAGGCCUUAGGGUUGUAAAGUACUUUCAGCGGGGAGGCGUUACCCGCAGAAGAAGCACCGGCUAACUCCGUGCCAGCAGCCGCGGUAAUUC